UACAGAGGGUGCAAGCGUUGUUCGGAAUUAUUGGGCGUAAAGGGAGUGUAGGCGGUUCGUUAAGUCUUCUGUGAAAUCUACGGGCUUAGCCUGUAACGUGCAGAGGAAACUAGCGGACUUGAGUGUCGGAGAGGAUAGGGGAAUACCCAGUGUAGAGGUGAAAUUCGUAGAGAUUGGGUGGAACACCAGUGGCGAAGGCGGCCAUCUGGAUCAACACUGACGCUGAGGCACGAAAGCGUGGGGAGCAAACAGG
rnacentral:rRNA from 1 species